rnacentral:lncRNA from 1 species
CCCCACGAGCGCGCUGGACGCCAUGGGCCCCCACGCAGCAGUCCGCCUGUCGGAACUGCUGACCCCCGAGGAGUGCAGCCACUUCCGAUCUCUUCUCGAGGCGCCCGAGCCCGACGUGGACAAGGAGCUGGCCCGGCUAUCUGAGGACCGGCUGGCGACGCCCGAGCCAUCCAUAGUCAAGCUCGGGGCGCAGGACUUGGUGGAACAACGGCGGCGGGCCGCAGCGGAGCUGGCCCGGCUGUCUGAGGUCCGGCUGGCGACGCCCGAACCGCCCACGCCCUCGCUCAAUGAUGAGCGGCGGCGCGCCGCAGCCGUACAGCCUUCGAAGGAGACGAAGGUCGUGCCCGAGUCCAGGGAGGUUUCCGACGGCUGCCGCGAGGCGCUGGCGACCUGGUUGGCUGCCCAGGCCCCGGCCCUGUCGUGGGACCGCGUGGCCCGAGCCCUACGGCGCAGCGGCCGC